rnacentral:rRNA from 1 species
GAUGAACGCUAGCGGCAGGCCUAACACAUGCAAGUCGAGGGGUAGACAUCUUCGGAUGUUGAGACCGGCGCACGGGUGCGUAACGCGUAUGCAAUCUACCUUAUACUAAGGGAUAGCCCAGAGAAAUUUGGAUUAAUACCUUAUGGUUAAUUAAAAAGGCAUCUUUUUAAUUAUAAAGAUUUAUUGGUAUAAGAUGAGCAUGCGUCCCAUUAGUUAGUUGGUAAGGUAACGGCUUACCAAGACGAUGAUGGGUAGGGGUCCUGAGAGGGAGAUCCACCACACUGGUACUGAGACACGGACCAGACUCCUACGGGAGGCAGCAGUGAGGAAUAUUGGUCAAUGGAGGCAACUUUGAACCAGCCAUGCCGCGUGCAGGAUGAAGCAUCUAUGGUGUGUAAACUGCUUUUGUACGGGAAGAAAAAAAGCUACGUGUAGCUUACUGACGGUACCGUAAGAAUAAGGAUCGGCUAACUCCGUGCCAGCCGCCGCAGUAA